UUUUAUGGAGAGUUUGAUCCUGGCUCAGGAUGAACGCUGGCGGCGUGCCUAAUACAUGCAAGUCGAGCGAACAGACGAGGAGCUUGCUCCUUUGACGUUAGCGGCGGACGGGUGAGUAACACGUGGGUAACCUACCUAUAAGACUGGGGUAAAUUCGGGGAACCGGAGCUAAUACCGGGUAAUAUUUCGAACCGCAUGGUUCGAUAGUGAAAGAUGGCUCUGCUAUCACUUAUAGAUGGACCUGCGCCGUCUUAGCUAGUUGGUAAGGGAACGGCUUACCAAGGCAACGAUACGUAGCCGACCUGAGGGGGGGAACGGGCCCCCUGGAACCGAGCCAC
rnacentral:rRNA from 1 species